rnacentral:lncRNA from 7 species
ACAGGAUGGUCUGAGGAGCAACACAUUUCACUCCCGACAGAAAAGCAGUCCAUCUGCCAGUGGCUACCCCUGCUCCAUGUGAUGGCACUUCCAAGCAUUCUCUAGCAAGGCUGCACAUGCUGCCUGCAGCAGACCUGCAGCAGACCUGCAGCACCAGCACACACGGUUCCUGAUCUCCACAGGUUCACAAGCAGCUUUUUCCCCAGAACUUUGCAGGAUUUGGGCAAUGCUGACAGUCUGUCGCUACAAAAUCUCUUUUGUUGAAGGGACAGUGGCAAUGCUGAUUAGAGAUUUAAGCACUUGGAUACCGAGGUGUGCGCUGUGCCUUCAGAAUGGAUUUUGGUGACUUAACGAAAAUGUUUGUGGAAUGAAUUUUCAACUUAUUUUUUUCCCUGGAACAAAUGCUUUAUUUUUGUCCUCUGCAACUUUCAUGUUUUUAAGGUUGUCUUAAUGCUUGCAGCUGCAAUGGAGACUUAAUGAAUGAAGAUUUCAGGGCUCCCUAUGGAAACACUGUAUUACCUUAUUGCUGCUGCUACUCCUCUAACCCAAUUCCCUGCAAUAGGAAAUGACUGCUCAGAAGAUAUGAUGUAUGAACUGUAACACAGUCAUCUAACAUUCCUAUGGAAAGCUUAGAUUAUUCUCUCUGAGCUAACUGUGUGAUAAAGGUUGGUCUCACAUUCAUUUAUCCACAUAGCAAAUUCAGGCUGGAGCAGUAAGAUUUUGGGUUCUAACUGCAUGAAGAAAGCUGGGAAAAUAGGAGCAUUGCAGAGGGGCCACCAGGCAGGUUCUCACCUCUGGGAGGAGGUAUUUCAAUGGCCUCUGCACUCAGUCUCAGCUCCCUGGUUUGUGCAAUCCCUGAGCCUGUCAUCUCCCAGCAUAGCUGAAUGUCAAUUCCUGAAAAAACAUUGGAUAAUGCAAACGUAUUUAGUAAUGAUGAGCCAUUCUGAAUUCUCUAAGAGUCAUAAACAUGUUUGUUUUAUCAAGAUAGGGUAGGGUUUGUAGUGCAAUAGAAUGAUGAAAACAGCCUGGAUUAACAACUCUUCUCAUCUCCUGCUCUGACAGCCCCUUUCUCAAAGCACCAGUAUUACCCACUUAGAAAAUGGAUUUAUGCCAACGUUUAAAGCACUUCUUUUUCUUUCAGCACACCAGAUGGUACUAAAAAUUCAAAAUAUUUCCUACAACAGCUGUAUCUUUGACAACAAAAUUAAUAUAAGCAGAAAUACCAUUGCUGCACGUAGACUGUAAUGGCCAGAUUAUUCAGUUUUAAGUCUAAUGUAGAAAAGCAUUCUAUAGUUAAAAAAAUAGAUCGGAUCAACUAAUAUUGCACCGAUCAUGUGACUCUGUCUGGGUUUUCAAAACCAGAUGCAAAAUUUAGUGCCUUUAUAAUUUAACAGCUGGUCUGAUAAGAAUGCAAAAUACACCUUUCCCUAGAGCUAUAAUAAAUGUGUUAACACUUUCUUACAACCAGCCCUUUCCUACAACUCAUCAUUUUCUUGCCCCAAGCUCUGUCUUUAUGUAUUUGAUGACAUAAAUCUUGUAAGCAGGUUUGGACCAGAAGCUAACUUCCCUUACUCUGAUAUGUGGACAACAAUGCAUGUUUUUUCCUUGGUGUUUAAGGUGGGAGAGGAUGAGGAGUAUUUUCAGUUAAGG